ACUACGCUUACCAGAAUGCAUUGGGUUGUGAGUUGAAAAGCCUGAACUGUCCAACUGAACACGGAGCAAUGAUCACCUUACCUUUCCGACUGAUUAGAGCAAAUUAUUAAAUACAAUUACUGAAAAAAAAUUAAACAAAAAUAGAAAUCAGACGAAAAAAUAAAAUUGUUAAAUAAUUUAAAGUUUAAAGGGUCAACUGGUAUUUUUUUAAUAAACAGUUGCAAAUGCUAUACCUUUUUUUUUUUUUAAUCUGGAAAAACCAGAAAUAUGAUUUUUGAAGAUAUUGUUCACUAAACCACACGCAAAAGAUUAAACUUGACACCAUGCAAAUCUUUUGAAUUCGCAUGGUUUGGCUGGUGAUGGGAAUUGGUUUACAAAAUAAUUGCGGAUCGUCAUGACAUAAAUAUUACCAGGUAACAAGAUUCAUCGAUAUGAUGUGAAAUCUUUUUGCCUUCACAAAAAUCUGUUGCAGGGAUUACUUUUUUCUGUACAGUCAAUCUCCGAUAAUAACUGCAUCACAAAUUCGGUUGUUUACGCAGUACAGUGAAAUCUGCGAUUGAUUGUUUCUCCCUGUUUUGCACUGACAGUUGGCUGUGUGUUUCAGUGUUUUGGUUUUUUUGGCCGCCAGGAAUGGCCGUAUCGUGAUGAACCUGGACAGUUCGUUAGGUGGGGCUUUGACUGUGGUCACUCCUAUCCCGGUUACUGGGUUCGACCUCACUACCAUUCAGCACCUACAACUGGAGGAGUCGGCGGGGCUUUGUGACAGCACAGCCCGAGAAGCAGGGGCUGGAUUUGGGGUCGGUAACUGUUCUAACGUCGAGGACGGUGGUUCUGCUGCACCUGCUGCUUUCAUAGAUGGUGUCCCUGUCACAGUGUCAGUACAAAAUGUCGAUGGCCAGCACAGAAUUGUGUGUGUGGCUGCUGAUGCCAGUGGAAGUACGGUGUCUUACGUGGGACAGCUAAACUCUGACGUGAACCUGGAACUCCAGGCAGAAGUGCCCUCCAUGCCUUUGCAGUGUGAGGAUGGGGUACUGCCCUUAGCACCAGGAGCACAGCUGCUUCCUAUACACCCUUUAAAUGCAUCACUGGAGCCGGUACAAAAUAUAAUCCUGGAUGGGCAGCUGCAGUCAAAGGACCCCGACACAGAGGAGCCGAAGAAAAGGAAAGGUGGUUGGCCGAAGGGAAAGAAAAGAAAACCGCCCAAGGAAUUUUCUGCUCCUCGCGCUCCUACUACAGGAUAUGUAAUAUUUGUCAAUGAGAAGAAAGUCCAUCUGAAGGCUGAGCACCCUGAUAUUCCGUUUACUGAAAUCACCAAGAUGUUGGGCACUCGGUGGUCUCAGCUAUCUCAGGAGGAAAAGCAGAAGUACAAUAAUGCCGCAGAGAAAGACAAGCAGCGUUUCAUCGAGGAGCUGCAGGCCUAUCAGAACUCUGAGGCGUACAAGGCCUUUCUGAAAAGAAAAACGCUUCAUAAAGUGAAGGUCCUUUGUGGUGUUGAAAUGGUGGAUUCUGAGUUUGAAAAUGAGAUUGUUGCUCUCUCACAGAUGGAUGGUGGUGACACCAGUGACUUGUACUGCAGGACGUGCAAUCAGUAUUUCAGCUCUCUGCAUAAUAAGAAGGAGCAUCUCCUGGGGAAGCAGCAUUUACAGAAUCUGACAGAGGAGUUUGAGAAGGAGACGGUGGGGCUGUGUAAGGAGCAGCAGGAUGAGGGUGAGGAGGAGCUGGAAGCGAAGGAUGAAGACUCGGAGGAAGAGGAAGUUGCAGUGGCAGAGCUGGCCCAGUUAUGUGGACUCGCUUCCCAGCACAGCUUCACCUCACUGGACCUUGGUUUCCUGCAGGAGUUCAUCUUCAAACAGAUGACAUUGAGAGAGUUUGAACUCGGUGAACUAAACACUAGCAUGGAAGAAGCAAUGGAAAAACAUGACAAUUUAAACAGGCAACUGGAGGACCUGCAGAAGCAGAAGUUAAAUUUAGAAAGUGAGCUGGGAAGCCUGAAGGCCCAUGGGGGAACAUUGGAAACCCAGCUGGACAGCUUAAAAAUGGUCCCCAUGUUAUUAAAGUUUCACAUUCAGAUAACUGAGAGCGGGAACGCAGUUUUACAGAAGCAAUCGAUACUCUGAUGAAGUGAAUGUAGAGUUCUUUUGAAGCGAGGGGCAUUUUUAGAUCUGUCGUUUUUGGCUUGGACUGAGUAACAGGUGCUGUGACGCUACAAGAGGGUUUGACAAGAUGCACUAAAUUCAGGAAGAAGAGGAAGGCUGGUAGCAGACCCAAGAUGGGGUCUGGGCAGUUUUUGACCUAUCUUGUUUAUCUUACUGUCUUUAGAUGUGUUUUUUCUCCUCAACUUUGCCCUAAAGAUCAACCCGAUAAUCAACCCUCAAGUACCACUGCUGAUGCAGACUACAGCCCCUUCUAAUAGCACUUUUCUGUCAUACAGCUGUUAAUGGCUGAUGUUUUACAUAUUUAGCAGUUUUUAAUGUGGAAAUGCUUUUAGUAUAUGUUUAUGAUAUGUUCUGUAAGAGGGUAUUUUUGCACUUUAUCCAACAUUAUAAAUAGUAUGUGUCUUUGUUAAUUGGAGUUUGGUUGAAAAGCACUGUGUGUUGUUGAUGUCAACCAGUAUUUGAAGGAGCUGCUUGGUUAUUUUCUGUGUCCUGGUAAUGCCCAAUUCGUGGUCCUUUGUAACCCACUGUAGGCAAUUCAAAAGACAUUCACCCCUGCAAGUUUACACCAUUUUUUUUGGGACCGGGAAAAACAAACUACUAGAACUGUGCAGAAAACUCUAAGCUUACCAUAGGAUCUUUUAUUAUUUAUUAAGAUUAAACAACUGGUGUUAACAUGUAAGCACUGGGGUAAAUGCUUUGUGAAUAUGGCCCAUUUAUGCCAGUCUUAAAUGACCAUAGUUGCAUAAGUAAUUUAUGUUGUGCUGUUAACUGGAUCUGCUGCCAUUUUCAUUUCUCUGAUACCAGAAAAGAAAAUAACAUUGAUUGGGCUCUCUAACACAUUAAGUUAACCGCUCCUACCAACACCAAAGUUUUUUUUUUUUACAUUCCAUUUGCUUUUGUGUGUAGCAGAACCAGCAGAUCCACUGUAAAGCCGAGAAGCAGUACUGCUGGGAUUGUUGUUAGUGUUGUACAUUAUACAUCUAAAUAGGCACUUUAUAAUGUUAAUAUAAUAUUGAUUUGCUUUGAUAACAUAUGUAGUGGUAUGUCUUUGAUGGUUGCAAGUUGUUUCUAGCUGUUGAUUUAUAAGUAUAGUUAUAUUUGUCCUUUUAAAGUAAAACAGCCCAUUUGUAAACAUUAGAGAUUAAGUUAUGCACUGUAUAACAAACACAUAUAAUUUGAAAGUAUACAGUAAAGAAUGAUGCAUAUGAAGAAUGAUGUUGGGAGUUUGCAUGGCUCAUCACAUAUAAUCCAGUGCUGUGAUUAGGCACAUGGUUGAGAUGUAUUAUAAUAUUCAUAUAGGUCAGCAUUGUGAACAAAAUAACUGGGGGGAAAAAAGAAAAGGCAGCUACAUGUACAGCAGGUUGCUCAGUGAGAUACAGUACUGGCGUUUUGGUCACUGGUACAACUCCAGUCAUGUCUAGUAGAGACCAACGAUGGCUAAGGGCUUAUGUAAAUGUUCUGGUGGUCUGUGCCCAUUGACUAGUGAACAUUAAUAAUAUUUCAAAGACUGUAUCACAUUGGCACUUUCACCUCUGAAAAGAUCCCAAAGAGAGUUUAUGGAAACCAAAAUACCCAAUUAACGUCCAAGAGUUACUGCAUGGACACAAAUAACUAUGACUUCUUCAUUACCAUUAAAUAUUCUAUUUCCAUUCUAAACCCUGAAGUGUUGUAGGGGUUGGGAUUUGAAAAGGGGAUUUUGGGAACAUCUGGUUUUGUGCAGUAGGACUACAUAUUCUUAACAGGAGGUUGUAACAUUGGAAAGAAUGACUGACACCUUUAAAUCAACAUGAUUACUUUUUGAACAAAGAGUCUUAGCUCAUUCUAUUCAGAUUAAUAAUAUGCAUUGUGCCCUACUUAGUUACUAAGCUUAUUGGCGCUUUCUGAAUAGUGGGUUUUGGGUAUGUCAUCUAAUUGACCCAGGCUCUGCAUAAUUAACAAUUUCUAAAAAGAGCAUUUUACAUAAUCCUGGCAUUUUAAGUGUACUGUAUACUAAUGACUGCCUUGUAUAUUCUGUUUCCUUACACUCCCCCCCUCCCCCCCCCCCCCCCCAAAACAUUGAAAAUAUAAAUAUUUCCAUUCAGUUUUUUUCAUUUAGUCUGCAAGUCAACCAUCCAGUUUAUUAUUGUGAGAUCUAUUAAAAUUGAGAAGCAUACAAUAGGCAUAAACAAUUCUUUCAGAGAACAUGUUGCAAUUAUUAACAUCCAAUUCUCAAACUUGUUUAAUUCUAAAUGUAUUCAUUUUUAACCAUUAAAAAAAUGGAUGACACAUUUAAAGUUUUCCUGCUUCCAUGUAUAAAAAAGAAUUAACAAUUUACUGCUGGCUGUGGUUCACAGCAAUGGCAAUAGAAAAAUCUUGAAGAUCAUCCUCAUAUUAAAAAUAUGACGCUGACCGUUUGAUUUUGGUCAACUCACUUCAACCAUCAUUCUUCAAUGUCUGUGUGGUAAAACAGGGCAGAAGCAUCAUCCCUCUAAAAAUGGGAUGUACAUUUUUUCUAAAGUCCAAAGGAAUCUUCAAAUAUAUAUGUAUGUAAUUGAAGUGGAACAUAUUUCUUAUUUUUUGUUGUGUUUAGCCUGCACUAAAAAGAGUAUAUUGUUUGCUUAAAUCUGACAUACUUGAAAUGUAAUUGAUUCUGUUUUACAUAUCUGUUGUUUUAUUUGGGUGGACAGUUUAAAAUAAAAGCCAUGUAUAUGAAAA